rnacentral:SRP_RNA from 1 species
GGGCAAGUCUCAUACGAUCAGCUCCUGUUUAAUCCCCCAGGGUCGGAAGGCAGCAAGGGUAUACGGUUGUAGCGGUGCGAUGUGAGUAGCUUGCCCAUU